GAUGAACGCUAGCGGGAGGCCUAACACAUGCAAGUCGAGCGGUAUUUGUUUUACGGCUCAGAGAGGGCGGUGCACGGGUGCGGAACACGUGUGCAACCAGCCUUUAUCUGGGGGACAGGCUUUCGAACGGAAGAAUAAUAACCCAUAAUAUAUUGAGUGGCAACAUGUGAAAUUGAAAAAUCCGGUGGAUAGAGAUGGGCACGCGCAAGAUUAGAUAGUUGGUGAGGUAACGGCUCAACAAGUCAAUGAUCUUUAGGGGGGCUGAGAGGGUGAUCCCCCACACUUGUACUGAGGCACGGACCACACUCCUACGGGAGGCAGGGGUGAUUAAUAUUAGAGGAUGGGUUCGCGCCUGAUCCAGCCAGCCCGCGUGAAGAAGGACUUCGCUAUGGAUUGUAAACUUCUUGUGAAUAAAGAUAAACCUACUCUCGUGAGAGUAUCUGAAGGUACUAUACGAAUAAGCACCGGCUAACUCCGUG
rnacentral:rRNA from 1 species